AGGCUCGUUUGCGUCGGAGCAUUUCAUCUUGUGUGGACCUCGAGACCUCCUGAUCACGGAUACAAAUCCAGGGAGGAUCACUCACCCACAGCCCACCGAGCACCGACAGCUUGGCCAGAUGGGGUGGGAUUUAUCGAUCUGAUCCACGCGCUCACCUGUUUCUGAAAGCUCCACGCAAACACAUGUGUCCUGCGCACCUGGAGCCUGGAGGAUGCUGCCGACGCGCCUUCUUCACCAGCACAUGUGGAUGUUUUGGUGUCCAUGCAGCCUACGUGGGGCAUCUCCCACGGUGCAUAGUGGGGCUUUUCGGAUCCAGUGGUCCUAACCUCGUGGAUCCUCAGACUUUUUACCUUUUGCUGUUAGAUUAAAUACCGGAGCCUGUUCCUGUCUUUGGUUAUCUAGCUGUAUGAGUGUUAAUCAUCCAUCAUAAAGCUAGAUAACCGAAAGUAGGAAUGACCUCCAAGCCAUCACCUUCUUGCAUUAAAGUGACGCCACGAGAAGAAAAACACAAAGGCAAAGACAACAGGAUGAGUUGUGUUAUCAGGAAGAGGCCAUAAAGAGGCAGCUGCAGAUGAUCUUCAGAGCUGAUGCCGGAGUUUUAAUCACAGUGAUUCACACACCAUUAAGUGACAUUUUGCUUCUGUGUAAUAUUAGACCACAGUAAUGAUGUACUGCCAAUUUGAAAAGAAUCAAUUUUGGGAAAUUAGAAAUUUAUAAGGUAUUUUGAAUGAAAUAUGAAAUGUAUUUUUUACUGUCUUCCUCUUGCUGUUUUGGGAAAAAAAAUAAUUUGUUUCUUGUGUUUGUUGUUUUGUUUUUUAUUAUAGUGUUUAGAUGUUAUUUUUUCAUUUAACUAAAACCAUAAGCCUUCAAAUGUAAUUUUUCUGGAUGCAAUAAAAAACGAAAUAAUGAAAGGUUACAGUGUUUAUUCACAACCACGUCGCUAAUUUAUUCACAUGACAUUUUAAGUGAU